rnacentral:pre_miRNA from 1 species
ACGCGAGGGGCACCUCGGGGGCUGUCUGACCUGAGAAUGGUGACACCUGAGGGUCAAUCUCAGGUCCGUCACCCCGUGGGAUGCUCUCUCCAG